AGGUCAGUAGCUCAGUUGGUAGAGCGUCGGUCUCCAAAACCGAAUGUCGGGGGUUCGAGCCCCUCCUGACCUGCCA
rnacentral:tRNA from 1 species